ensembl:misc_RNA 7SK 7SK RNA
GGAUGUGAGGGCGAUCUGGCUGCAACAUCUGUCACCCCAUUGAUCGCCAUUAUUGAUUCAGCUGAUCUGACUGGCUAGGUGGGUGUCCCCUUCCUCCCUCACCUCUCUUUGUGCGGCUGUCUCUCCCGAAGCACUCCGUCGAAGAGGCCGGCCUUCCUCGAAUAGAGACAGACCGGUCUUCGGUUCAGGGUAUAUGAGUAGCUGCGCUCCCCUGCUAGAACCUCCAAACAAGCUCUCAAAGCUCAUUUUGGGGUAGUUAAUAGCAUAAACUGAAAUAAUUUUUCUUAGAGGUAUUAGGGAGGGUCACAUU